AUCCCUGCAGUCACGAAAGCUUUAAAUCGAAAUUUAAUCUUGAUAAGUUCCUCACAACCACUGUUGGUGAUGCCACCGUGCCCUCUGCACUGUGGGGUGGAACCAAUCAAUACACGAUGUUUUUCCAUUGUCUAAGCAUCAGCUCUUCCUACUAUCCUAUUAGCUCGGGGUGAGCAGCUACAUCAUGAAAUAUAUUUUGCCAGUAUUAAAUUAUGAUACUGGGUGACAUGAUUCCUUGCCAAGGUUUCAGUUUGGUGUUUUAACAUCUUAACACCUGUUUUAUUGCCAGAAAGGGGAAAACCCUACUAUCAUAAUUUAAUACUGGCAAAGGAGGUGUCAUGAUGAGUUAUUUUCAAUCGAGAUCUAUUAUUAAAGCCCGGCGUUCCGUUUGUCCGUCAACUAAUUUAUAAGAGAGCCUUUCAGAAGGCCUGAAUCUCCACAUCUGGGAAUGUGGGGGUUAAACGUUGAUCCAACAGGUUUACAACAAUUGUCGACCCCCACCAAUACAUUUUCACUCCCCCCCCCCCCCCCAAAAUGUGUUUUGUAGGCAUAUUUGCAUACAUACAAUCGAGACAGUAGGAUCUGCACACAUUUGGGAGGGGGGAGAAUAGGACAUCAGUGAGGGCGACGGGCGAUGGACGAAGCGCCGAGAAGCCCACCGCAGGAGCUAGAAUAAGGCGGCUUGCAGGCCGCCGAAAUUCCAGGAGGAUUGAAAUGCCCCUUGUGACUUUGGCUGACUGCAAGAGGUUCGCUGACUCGUGGAUAAGGGGGAGCUCCAUUGCAGAUGCUUUGCUUGGUGGAUGAGCUGGGGUUAAACAGGUCAAGGUGCUGCCCUGGAAUUACUCGCUCAAGCCACUGCUGUGGGAACGGCCUCCCACGAGAAGGAGAUCGAGAGAUUAUUUGGCCUACUCUUCCAUGCUUGACAACACGUGUUGGAAGAGAUUCAUUAAACAUGUUGUUCCUGGGAUUAUGCUGCACUUGUGGCGUUUAUGUUCAUUUCAAAAGGCACCGCAAACGAAACCCGGGACAUAUUGGUGACCGAAGGAGAGCAGGUUGUGCUGCCCUGUGGUGUUGAUGAUGGCUCCUUGAAGAGGUGACGCAGAGGAGAGUUGUGGUGUACGAUACACGUACGGUGACACGGAGAAAAACGACUUCAGAGUGAUUGCAUGGACACCGGAGAAUGGCGCUUUUGGAUAUUUGGGUUGUUAAUGUGUGGAUGGGAAUUGUGCGUCGUCAAUCAUUUGCGAGGCUCAAAACCAUUUCUCUUUGCUGAUACCUGUCUUUCGUAUUGAGAAUCUGGGGUUAUACCGCUGCCUAUACACUACGGAUGUUUCUAAAAUCAUGCAGAGAUUAGAAUAUCAACUCAUCAUGAGAGAAAAAGGUAAACACCAAUGGUGAACUGUGCAACUAACAUCGGACUACGGUUUCGUUAUUUCUGCAUGGUGAAACGUUUAUAGCUACGUAUUUGGGAUGAGUUUGGGAUAUAAAUUCGGAUGUCGUAUUUGUAAAGACAAUUUCACUCAGAUCCUGUGUGUUCAAAGCACCUCCAUUAUGCACGAAUGUAAAACAUAUUUGUGGAGAUAAUCGUGACGUGCCACGUGAAACUAGUAUUGGCGGGAAAAGCGCGGCGCCGACCUCAUGUCUGUGACGUCACUUCCGGUUCAAGGAUUAUUCCGAAAUUACCUUCGAAUUAUCUGAAACUUCACAUCCAGGCCUGAUUUUUAUUUUGUUUAAUUGUUAUGGGGUUAACACAAACAUCGCAAGCAUAUUCCUACCAGCUGUAGGAUAAAUAGUAACAAAUAUUUGUUACAAAUGCAAAAGAAAAAGGUAAAGAUCCAAACACGAGACGAAGCUUUACGAAUAAUUAUUUUAUACUGAAAAUAAUUAGAAAAUGUUAUGGUAUUGUCAACUACGUUAAUAUUUCUAAGUUAUAAAUAUACACUAUAGAUUCCUCGCAUAUCAUAUGCAUGUUUUAAUUCAGCAAAUUUCAACUUUUUGUCAUGAUUAAAAUUGUGUAAAUCCUCUGUAUUAAUAUUAAAACCUAACAUUUAUUUUAAAUUCGAAAUGUUUACAGAUAUUUAACAUAUACAAUAUUUGAAAUGAGUGAUUUACGUUUGGUUGACCAAUGUCUUUACAACUUUAAUUCAAAUAACAUUUUAAACUCAUCAAUGCCUCAUCUGUUUAAUUAGAAUGAUGAGGAUGGUGUGGAAUCACACAAUCAGAGUGGCCUGUAUUGUUCCUAGCUCAGUGGUGUCAUUAAUGUUGUGACUAACGCUCACAGGGACCGAACCAGUUGGAAAUGUCACCACGAAUCCAUCAAAAUGCAUCUCAGAGGUGGCCAGCUCUGGCUCUUCUGGCUGUGAGAACUCAAACACAACUCAAGGCACUGAACCUGACAACAUAGUUUACCUCUAUAAGAUGCUAUUUUUCAUUGCCGUUGCAACGAUGGCUGUAUUGCUACUGGUGUUCGCAUUGUUAAUCUACAAACUGGUAAUGGUCAAGAAAGGUAAGGAAACGCAGAACGUUGGCCAUUCCUACAAGUGUUCAGUUGUUUGUGGGUUCCUAUAUAUACUGUUGCUUUAUUGUGAAAAUAAUAAGGCACAAACGUAAUGUGUGAUCAAGCCUUUGGGUCUUAUUCAAGCAUGUGAAUAACAUUGUUUAGACGAAUCGUCAUCAUGAGCAAAUGGCAGAUGAAGUUUAAAGCAUAUACAGUAUUACCUUGACAUCAGGUCCCUUUGCCUUUGCACCUGAUUGGCUCACAAGUGAUAAAUUCACAUGUAUCCCUCUAUUUAAGACCGAAACAGAAGGAUUUCUCCACAACUCUGGCUAUCGCCUGAUGAUGCUAGUUGUAUUUACUGCCGAAAUGUCUUACUCGAAUUGUACAUGUUGUGGAUUUACUCUCCAGCACAUCGGUGUGCUGUACUCCUAACGAAUUGACAUGCUUUGUUUACGUGACAAAUCUUAUUAAGUGGCUGUGUCGGGUGGUGGUGGGUUUAACAACACGUUUAUAUUCACGCGAUCUAACCCAAAAACCUCUAUUAUGGAUAUUAUCGGGAAGAUUAUGAGUUCACGUCCUGGUUGCAGUUGACUCGGCCUAUAAGUCUCCUCUUAGGAUUGAUAAACAGAGCACCGGUUUGUGCUGUCAACAGUGGAUCAAGAGCCUGCCUGCCUCCAUUGGAACGUGGAAUUUCCACAGCUGGCUUGGAGCUAUGAGACACGCAAUGCACUGCUCAUAGAAAUGGGGGAAUGGGGUUCAUGGCCAUGUUUAUUUUGGCUCAUUUCUGGGAAAAGGACACAAGUCUGUUUACAUCUGGUCUGGAUUCUUGAUAAAAAUAUCAAGUUGGCUGUGCAUAACUUACACGUAUGUUAAUAAAGUAAGUAAAUUCCGAAAUCUACUGUAUGCGGCCAUAACACAAUCGAUGCAACUAAUUAUAACACGGCCUAACGUUAGCACGUUCUGCCGCUUGUUACAAGAGAAGGCCAUUGCGCUGUUGUCAUGGUCCAACGUUGAAACAUUACCUACGAGUAACUCUCUUGAAAUUUAUACAUUAGAAAUAAGCACGUGCCCUGAGGAAAACUGAACAGAACCCUCCUGAAAAAAAGAGUCAUGAGACUCAGUGAGGCGCUCCUCGCUUAACAAGUGCAAUACAUCGCAAUCAUAUUUUAAAGACAUUACCCACUGCCUCGAUGAUGAAGCCCAUCAAGUUAAAACAUGCGUGUUGAUAAUUGUUUUAAAGCGUUAUUAAUGCUCUGUUCUCAAAACAGAAUGCCUGUCAUUGGUAUCGCAACUGCAAAGAGUCGGCAAACUUUCUGCGGAAGGACACGCUUCGGAUGCAGAGAAGGAGCCCCAUUACUGCCCACUCCGAUGGAAAGGGAACAACUCGGAGGUCUGCAGUUCUCUAUCUCACCAGUAAUUGGACCAUCUCUGCUUGGACGAUCAUAACGUGUCUAAUGAAACACGUGCUUUUCAUAUGUUCGAGUCUCUGUAAUUCAUGUUUGAAUAUCCAGGAAAAUGCAAUUGUUAUAUGAUGGCAGUAUAUCAGGUAUAACGAAUUAGUUUAGAUUUCGUCUCAAAAUAUUCAGUAUUUACACCUAACUGUACAAAACGUUGAUACAUGUGACAUUUCAACAUGCCCCCGUGCUAAGAGUGAUAUCCUCGUGCUAAUGGGAUAUGGGAAUACCAUUGGGGCUACAAGACGAGGGUUACGGGUCAAUGGGGCUUGCGGCUGUGAAAUGGAAACAGGAAAAACAUAGGUCAUUAUAUGGGGCAAAGCUACACACCCAGACAAAUGAAGCAAAAUGCCGUGUUUACUUUUUUGGAAGGCAAGACUUAUUUUAAAGAUGGCUUAAAAUGCAGAAAUAAGCCCGCAAUACAUAUAUGUCAAAAGAGAAUUCAUAACUGAUAAAUAGCAUACAUUAUUUGAUAAAUACGGAUAAUUAGGUAAAUUAUGCAUCCAUGGGAUAACAAUUUAACUUUGUAAUGUAGAUAAUUUUGAGCUUACCAAGUCAAUAAUAUUAGCACUUUGUAAAAUAUAAUCUCAUCUCUUCGGUAAAAAACUCACAAAGUCGAAUUCAACAUGGAAGAAAUACACUUUGUCAAAAAGAUGUUUGUGUCACGGAAGAUAUCCUUCGGCUGCCCAGUGCUCCCGAGUGUUACCGUUAUGCACAGUUUCCUCUUGGUUAUGUGCUUUUGGUUGAUUUGUGUGCGUUGUUUGAUAUAUAUUAAAAAAU